rnacentral:pre_miRNA from 1 species
GUGUGUGGAUGGCUUUCAGCACCAGGGUCAGGUAUGUUUACAUGUGAGUGGAUGGUAUUCAGCACCAGGGACAGGUAUGUUUGCUU